UGCUUAUUCAUGUAAACAUGUAGACCAAACAUUUGCAACUAUUGACGCUGAAAAAUUAAUAUAGACGCCCGGUCGACAUUAUUUUUUACUUGAUCGAUAAAAACAUACCUAUAAUUAAGAUGACUUUGUUUUGUACCUAUAACCACCGUAAGACAAACUUUCAUAUAAAAAUCAACAACGGUAAUGAUAUGUUGUCUUAAUAGAAUAAUCCAGCCUCCUUUUUUGUAGAUAUUAAGCUAAUAUUUGGUUGAUAACCGUAUAAUGAUUAAUUACUGGGAUGUUUUUGUUUCAUUCUUAUAAUUGAAAAUAAUUGAUGACUAGUAAACAUCGAUAUAAACGCAACACAAAAACGUCA
rnacentral:lncRNA from 1 species